UGGGGAAUAUUGGACAAUGGGCGGAAGCCUGAUCCAGCCAUGCCGCGUGUGUGAAGAAGGCCUUUUGGUUGUAAAACACUUUAAGCGAGGAGGAGGCUACUUGGAUUAAUACUCUAGGAUAGUGGACGUUACUCGCAGAAUAAGCACCGGCUAACUCUGUGCCAGCAGCCGCGGUAAUACAGAGGGUGCGAGCGUUAAUCGGAUUUACUGGGCGUAAAGCGUGCGUAGGCGGCUUCUUAAGUCGGAUGUGAAAUCCCUGAGCUUAACUUAGGAAUUGCAUUCGAUACUGGGAAGCUAGAGUAUGGGAGAGGAUGGUAGAAUUCCAGGUGUAGCGGUGAAAUGCGUAGAGAUCUGGAGGAAUACCGAUGGCGAAGGCAGCCAUCUGGCCUAAUACUGACGCUGAGGUACGAAAGCAUGGGGAGCAAACAGG
rnacentral:rRNA from 1 species